rnacentral:tRNA from 1 species
GGAGAUGUUGUGGUUCAGUGUCAGGGCCUCUGCUUUGCACGUAGAAGGUCCAGGUUCAAUCCCCAGCAUCUCCC